ACCUUUGUGCAGUGGCAGUAUUGUAGCUAGUGAGGUUUAUCCAAGGUGUGAUUAUUGCUAAAAAAAAAAAAAAAAAAGAACUGUCAUCAGCUAAAGGUUAUUGUAAAAAAAUCCAUGCUAUAUGUGAUAAAGCCUUGAACUAAGGCU